rnacentral:lncRNA from 1 species
AUCACAAGCGUUUCACUGCCUCAGACUGAGGACACCUCUUCCCCUUCUCCCUUCCUCGCAUGCAGCACCCUUUGCUGGAGAGGGAGCAGUUUAAUUAAGCCGUGAUUAACGCCUCACACACGCCUGGCUGUCACUGAUGGAGCUCUGGGAAUGGCACCGCUGUGAGCUGAGCACCGUGCUGGAGCAGGGAAUGUCCCCUCCGGGUGUCUCAGCUGCUCCCCAGCAGUGCCAGCACAUCUGGCCAGCUGUGUGCGCCCGGAGGGUGCCCUGGCACAGCUGAGCUGCUCCCCAGCUCCAGCCAGGUUUAUUGAAAAUAAACUGAAUUUCUGCUGGCUGUGUGGUGCCAUCUUCAAGACUCCAGGGGGUCUCUACAUCUGGAAUUUUCCUUUGCUGUGGGCAAGAUGUGUUCUCGUCACUCACUGGGUUGAAAACCAGUAACAACCUGAAGGUAACGGCCCUUCCCAAGUCGUGGAAGUCAAGGCAACCAUCAGCUUUGCCUUCCCCAAAAAAGCUGCUCUCAUCAGGAAGCACAGUGCUCUUGUGGGAUUCUCCUGAUGCUGGGGCAGGGAACAACCCACAAACGUCACCGUCAUAUUUUCUGAAAAAUCCUCUUUGCCCAGGAUUUUCUCCUGGGAAGAUGAGAAGCCUCAGCUGCUCCUGUGUUUGUGGUCUGGAGAUUGUUUAUUCAACAUGUGAAUUGUUUUAACUUAAUGGCCAAUCACAGCCAGCUGUUUUGUCACGAAGUUUUAUUAUUCAUUCUUGUUAAGCCUUCUGAUGUAUCCUUUCUCUUUCUUUAGUAUAGUUUUAGUAUAGCAUUCUUUAAUAUAAUACUAUAUCAUAAAAUAAUAAAUCAGCCUCUGGGAACA